rnacentral:rRNA from 1 species
CACAUGCAAGUCGAACGAACCUUCGGGUUAGUGGCGGACGGGUGAGUAACGCGUGAGAAUCUGCCCUCAGGAGGGGGAUAACGGCUGGAAACGGCCGCUAAUACCCCAUAUGCCGAGAGGUGAAAUGAAUUUCCCCUGANGAUGAACUCCCGUCUGAUUAACUAGUUGGUGGGGGAAAAGCCUACCAAGGCUUCNAUCAAUAGCUGGGCUGAAAGGAUGAUCAACCACACUGGGACUGAGACACGGCCCANACUCCUACCGGAGGGAGCAGUGGGGAAUUUUCCCCAAUGGGCGAAAGCCUGACGGAACAACCCCCCGUGAGGGAUGAAGGNCUCUGGGCUGUAAACCUCUUUUNUNAAGGAAAAANANNUGACNGUACUUGNUGAAUAANNCACNGCUAAUUCCNUGCC